CCUACGGGUCGCAGCAGUGAGGAAUAUUGGUCAAUGGACGAGAGUCUGAACCAGCCAAGUAGCGUGAAGGAUGACUGCCCUAUGGGUUGUAAACUUCUUUUAUAAAGGAAUAAAACGAGGCACGUGUGCCUUUUUGCAUGUACUUUAUGAAUAAGGAUCGGCUAACUCCGUGCCAGCAGCCGCGGUAAUACGGAGGAUCCGAGCGUUAUCCGGAUUUAUUGGGUUUAAAGGGAGCGUAGAUGGGUUGUUAAGUAAGUUGUGAAAGUUUGCGGCUCAACCGUAAAAUUGCAAUUGAUACUGGCAGUCGUGAGUACAGUUGAGGUAGGCGGAAUUCGUGGUGUAGCGGUGAAAUGCUUAGAUAUCACGAAGAACCCCGAUUGCGGAGGCAGCUUACUAAACUGUGACUGACAUUGAUGCUCGAAAGUGUGGGUAUCAAACAGGAUUAGAUACCCCAGUAGUC
rnacentral:rRNA from 1 species